rnacentral:tRNA from 1 species
GGGGUUAUAGCUCAGAGGUAGAGUGCAUGCCUAGCAUGAUUGAGGUCCUUGGUUCAAGCCCUAGGACCUCCA